rnacentral:piRNA from 1 species
UUUGUCCACAUUUACUACUCU